AGCGUACACGGUGGAUGCCCUGGCAGUCAGAGGCGAUGAAGGACGUGCUAAUCUGCGAUAAGCGUCGGUAAGGUGAUAUGAACCGUUAUAACCGGCGAUUUCCGAAUGGGGAAACCCAGUGUGAUUCGUCACACUAUCAUUAACUGAAUCCAUAGGUUAAUGAGGCGAACCGGGGGAACUGAAACAUCUAAGUACCCCGAGGAAAAGAAAUCAACCGAGAUUCCCCCAGUAGCGGCGAGCGAACGGGGAGCAGCCCAGAGCCUGAAUCAGUGUGUGUGUUAGUGGAAGCGUCUGGAAAGGCGCGCGAUACAGGGUGACAGCCCCGUACACAAAAAUGCACAUAUUGUGAGCUCGAUGAGUAGGGCGGGACACGUGGUAUCCUGUCUGAAUAUGGGGGGACCAUCCUCCAAGGCUAAAUACUCCUGACUGACCGAUAGUGAACCAGUACCGUGAGGGAAAGGCGAAAAGAACCCCGGCGAGGGGAGUGAAAAAGAACCUGAAACCGUGUACGUACAAGCAGUGGGAGCCUCUUUUAUGGGGUGACUGCGUACCUUUUGUAUAAUGGGUCAGCGACUUAUAUUCUGUAGCAAGGUUAACCGAAUAGGGGAGCCGAAGGGAAACCGAGUCUUAACUGGGCGUUAAGUUGCAGGGUAUAGACCCGAAACCCGGUGAUCUAGCCAUGGGCAGGUUGAAGGUUGGGUAACACUAACUGGAGGACCGAACCGACUAAUGUUGAAAAAUUAGCGGAUGACUUGUGGCUGGGGGUGAAAGGCCAAUCAAACCGGGAGAUAGCUGGUUCUCCCCGAAAGCUAUUUAGGUAGCGCCUCGUGAAUUCAUCUCCGGGGGUAGAGCACUGUUUCGGCAAGGGGGUCAUCCCGACUUACCAACCCGAUGCAAACUGCGAAUACCGGAGAAUGUUAUCACGGGAGACACACGGCGGGUGCUAACGUCCGUCGUGAAGAGGGAAACAACCCAGACCGCCAGCUAAGGUCCCAAAGUCAUGGUUAAGUGGGAAACGAUGUGGGAAGGCCCAGACAGCCAGGAUGUUGGCUUAGAAGCAGCCAUCAUUUAAAGAAAGCGUAAUAGCUCACUGGUCGAGUCGGCCUGCGCGGAAGAUGUAACGGGGCUAAACCAUGCACCGAAGCUGCGGCAGCGACGCUUAUGCGUUGUUGGGUAGGGGAGCGUUCUGUAAGCCUGUGAAGGUGUGCUGUGAGGCAUGCUGGAGGUAUCAGAAGUGCGAAUGCUGACAUAAGUAACGAUAAAGCGGGUGAAAAGCCCGCUCGCCGGAAGACCAAGGGUUCCUGUCCAACGUUAAUCGGGGCAGGGUGAGUCGACCCCUAAGGCGAGGCCGAAAGGCGUAGUCGAUGGGAAACAGGUUAAUAUUCCUGUACUUGGUGUUACUGCGAAGGGGGGGACGGAGAAGGCUAUGUUGGCCGGGCGACGGUUGUCCCGGUUUAAGCGUGUAGGCUGGUUUUCCAGGCAAAUCCGGAAAAUCAAGGCUGAGGCGUGAUGACGAGGCACUACGGUGCUGAAGCAACAAAUGCCCUGCUUCCAGGAAAAGCCUCUAAGCAUCAGGUAACAUCAAAUCGUACCCCAAACCGACACAGGUGGUCAGGUAGAGAAUACCAAGGCGCUUGAGAGAACUCGGGUGAAGGAACUAGGCAAAAUGGUGCCGUAACUUCGGGAGAAGGCACGCUGAUAUGUAGGUGAAGUCCCUCGCGGAUGGAGCUGAAAUCAGUCGAAGAUACCAGCUGGCUGCAACUGUUUAUUAAAAACACAGCACUGUGCAAACACGAAAGUGGACGUAUACGGUGUGACGCCUGCCCGGUGCCGGAAGGUUAAUUGAUGGGGUCAGCGCAAGCGAAGCUCUUGAUCGAAGCCCCGGUAAACGGCGGCCGUAACUAUAACGGUCCUAAGGUAGCGAAAUUCCUUGUCGGGUAAGUUCCGACCUGCACGAAUGGCGUAAUGAUGGCCAGGCUGUCUCCACCCGAGACUCAGUGAAAUUGAACUCGCUGUGAAGAUGCAGUGUACCCGCGGCAAGACGGAAAGACCCCGUGAACCUUUACUAUAGCUUGACACUGAACAUUGAGCCUUGAU
rnacentral:rRNA from 1 species